rnacentral:rRNA from 1 species
CCGUAGGUGAACCUGCGGAGGGAUCAUUACCGAGUCUAAACAACUCAUCAACCCUGUGAACUUACCUAAAACGUUGCUUCGGCGGGAACAGACGGCCCCGUAAAACGGGCCGCCCCCGCCAGAGGACCCUUAACUCUGUUGCUAUAGUAUCUUCUGAGUAAAACAAGCAAAUAAAUUAAAACUUUCAACAACGGAUCUCUUGGCUCUGGCAUCGAUGAAGAACGCAGCGAAAUGCGAUAAGUAAUGUGAAUUGCAGAAUUCAGUGAAUCAUCGAAUCUUUGAACGCACAUUGCGCCCGCCAGUAUUCUGGCGGGCAUGCCUGUUCGAGCGUCAUUACAACCCUCAGGCCCCCGGGCCUGGCGUUGGGGAUCGGCGAGGCGCCCCCUGUGGGCACGCGCCGUCCCCCAAAUACAGUGGCGGUCCCGCCGCAGCUUCCAUUGCGUAGUAGCUAACACCUCGCAACUGGAGAGCGGCGCGGCCAUGCCGUAAAACACCCAACUUCUGAAUGUUGACCUCGAAUCAGGUAGGAAUACCCGCUGAACUUAAGCAUAUCAAU